UUUCUGUCAUGAUGCCACCAUAGAGAACAUCAAAGACACUGUAAACAUUUUCUGACAUAUUUUCUGGCAGACAGGGGGCGCCAUUACAAAACAAAAAUCUUCUUUUGCCUUUCAGGUUUUUCUUCUCUGAACUCACACAGUUUGAGCAUCACGGAAUAAUGUGCUGAGAGUCCACAAUGGUCAAAAGUCGGACAGAUAACGUUAUCUGUAGUUUAUUCGACGCUCUGAGGGGCGAAGUGCACGAGCCGGAGGUGUGCGCUUCACCACAUGCUGACCUACCCCCAUGUGGCGGCUGUUGGGAUCCGGAUCCAGGUAGUGCGGGUUGAUGUUGAAGGGAACGAGGCCAAUGGCGGCGAAGGACGGCGGACAGACGAUGGGCAUGUCGUUGGUGGUGCUGAUGCUAAUGGUGGCGACAUUGGUGCCGGCGCUGGAACCCAUGUAAGGGACUCCAUCCUGGACCGGGGAAGAGGGAGGAGGAAAGGAAGGAAGAGAUGAAGA